CCAAUUUUGUAAUUUUCGUUGACAUAAGUUCAUGGCGGCGAUGUGAACAUAGCCUAAAAUUCUGUCAUUUCUGUUGCUAUAGUGCGAUUCCCCCCCUCUGUGUUCUCUAAAUAUAUGUAGCAAGCCGAGCCAUACGUGUGUGGAGACUGUACGAUGGCCCAGCUUCCAUCUCACAGGCCAUAACAACACUACAUUGGAAGGAGCUGACUGGCUGCUGUCACACCGCUGAGCUGUGCUGGCAUUUCAAGGAGGCGGGCACAAGGCUGGCUUACCCCAACAUAAACAUUUGUAGCUUGGUCUCCCCCCUCCCCCAACACAAGUUCAGCAACCCGGGCGUGUGCAGAGGAGGGUGGAACACACAAGUACAGCACAACAUCCCCAUCAAUAACCUGACAGCAGCCGCCCUCUCCAUACAAAGAGCAUGGCACAGACAGACUGUCAAAGAGGGCCCUAGGAAAGCUACCACAAAGACCAGAGGGAAAGAGAGUGCUGUAUGCAAGAAAAGUGACUUAAGUGACCAAGGUCUGAACUGACCAAAACGUCAAGAUUUGGAGUCACAAAAGAAGGCAUUCUUCCUUAUCUACCUAUGUAUUCUUUGGAGGAUAUGUCACAAUAAAAGAAUUUUACUUGCAUGUUAACCCUGAGUGUGCAGUAGUAUUUCUCUUACUAUUGUUUUUGGAUCCACUCCACUGAAACACCUCACAAAUUGGACAGCGAGUGCAGCCCAACUAAGGAGGUACUACAAGAACAAAGAAGGGAAAUUGGUGAAAAUAAUGUUGGAAAAAAUACAGUCAGAGAGAAAAACACUGAUAAAUUUAAGUGGGCAUUCAAAACU